UUACAUUUAUAGCAACAUUAGCAGUAAUAUGGUGUCUUGUUUCCGGCCAACUGACAAAUUGACUGUGCGAAGUUGCUGGAUUGGAACAUUGGAACUGUCGGACACGCCGAUCCAGAGCAUCUCAAACAUGCUCUAUGGGUGACAUGUCUGAGCUUAUGCCAGCCCAUACCGUAACCCCACCGCCACCAUGGGGCACCCACUGGCAUUAACAGACUGGGAUUCAUCUGUGAAGAGAACUUCUCCAAAGUGCCAGAUGCCAUUGAUGGCAAGCAGUUGCCCACUC